rnacentral:rRNA from 1 species
GAUGAACGCUGGCGGCGUGCCUAAUACAUGCAAGUCGAGCGAACGGACGAGAAGCUUGCUUUUCUGAUGUUAGCGGCGGACGGGUGAGUAACACGUGGAUAACCUACCUAUAAGACUGGGAUAACUUCGGGAAACCGGAGCUAAUACCGGAUAAUAUUUUGAACCGCAUGGUUCAAAAGUGAAAGACGGUCUUGCUGUCACUUAUAGAUGGAUCCGCGCUGCAUUAGCUAGUUGGUAAGGUAACGGCUUACCAAGGCAACGAUGCAUAGCCGACCUGAGAGGGUGAUCGGCCACACUGGAACUGAGACACGGUCCAGACUCCUACGGGAGGCAGCAGUAGGGAAUCUUCCGCAAUGGGCGAAAGCCUGACGGAGCAACGCCGCGUGAGUGAUGAAGGUCUUCGGAUCGUAAAACUCUGUUAUUAGGGAAGAACAUAUGUGUAAGUAACUGUGCACAUCUUGACGGUACCUAAUCAGAAAGCCACGGCUAACUACGUGCCAGCAGCCGCGGUAAUACGUAGGUGGCAAGCGUUAUCCGGAAUUAUUGGGCGUAAAGCGCGCGUAGGCGGUUUUUUAAGUCUGAUGUGAAAGCCCACGGCUCAACCGUGGAGGGUCAUUGGAAACUGGAAAACUUGAGUGCAGAAGAGGAAAGUGGAAUUCCAUGUGUAGCGGUGAAAUGCGCAGAGAUGUGGAGGAACACCAGUGGCGAAGGCGACUUUCUGGUCUGUAACUGACGCUGAUGUGCGAAAGCGUGGGGAUCAAACAGGAUUAGAUACCCUGGUAGUCCACGCCGUAAACGAUGAGUGCUAAGUGUUAGGGGGUUUCCGCCCCUUAGUGCUGCAGCUAACGCAUUAAGCACUCCGCCUGGGGAGUACGACCGCAAGGUUGGAACUCAAAGGAAUUGACGGGGGCCCGCACAAGCGGUGGAGCAUGUGGUUUAAUUCGAAGCAACGCGAAGAACCUUACCAAAUCUUGACAUCCUUUGACAACUCUAGAGAUAGAGCCUUCCCCUUCGGGGGACAAAGUGACAGGUGGUGCAUGGUUGUCGUCAGCUCGUGUCGUGAGAUGUUGGGUUAAGUCCCGCAACGAGCGCAACCCUUAAGCUUAGUUGCCAUCAUUAAGUUGGGCACUCUAAGUUGACUGCCGGUGACAAACCGGAGGAAGGUGGGGAUGACGUCAAAUCAUCAUGCCCCUUAUGAUUUGGGCUACACACGUGCUACAAUGGACAAUACAAAGGGCAGCGAAACCGCGAGGUCAAGCAAAUCCCAUAAAGUUGUUCUCAGUUCGGAUUGUAGUCUGCAACUCGACUACAUGAAGCUGGAAUCGCUAGUAAUCGUAGAUCAGCAUGCUACGGUGAAUACGUUCCCGGGUCU